GGUACGACGCCGCCUGGCACCCCGUCGCCUACGGCAGCGAUGAGGACCACAAGCCUAUCAUACCCGAACCGUUAUCCCCGAUGCUGGCGCCGGGCGAGAUGGUGGAGUUGACGGAGCACGGGUGGCAGCCGCAGCCGCCGCCGCUGGUGCGCCGCGUCAACCCCGACCCGCCGCCCCCCGUCGCCGUCGAGCUGGAGGUCACUACCACCGACAUAUAGCCUGGAUACUUCCAUAGUCUUUUUAGGGCGCUUUUUUCUACUUCAAGAUUGCUUGAAGAAAAUUUACGCAGUUUAUGACUGUUUUGGUAGGGUGAGAUAGAACAACGAUCAGAUGAUGACAGGUAAUAAUUGGAAUUAUUACCUAAUUAAUUUAAACCUAAAUGCACACAUCAGCUAAGUAUGGAUGAGUGAUUAGUUAUGCGCGGUAUUUUUGUUCCACGAGAAGCCUAAAUUCUAAUGGUUAGUUAUUCUAAUAUAGAUAAAAUAAGUUUUUAAUUGUGGAUUCAUUGAAGACUAAUGCUGUCGUGCAUGCUAGCAUACGUGUAAAUAAAGUAGUUAACUCCUAUUAAGUAAGUAAUCUAAGUUUGUCGUUUUUAAAUUAAUUAUUGUCUUGUUGUAUAGUUCAGUUUAGUAAAUAUUCCGUUUAUGUUCCUGUAAAUAUUUACAUUUUGAUAAUAAACGUUCAAAAGUG